AUUGAACGCUGGCGGCAUGCCUUACACAUGCAAGUCGAACGGCAGCACGGGGGGUAACCCCUGGUGGCGAGUGGCGAACGGGUGAGUAAUACAUCGGAACGUAUCCUGUAGCGGGGGAUAACCUCUCGAAAGAGAGGCUAAUACCGCAUACGACCUACGGGUGAAAGAGGGGGAUCGCAAGACCUCUCACUAUUGGAGCGGCCGAUGUCGGAUUAGCUAGUUGGUGGGGUAAAAGCCUACCAAGGCUACGAUCCGUAGCUGGUCUGAGAGGACGACCAGCCACACUGGAACUGAGACACGGUCCAGACUUCUACGGGAGGCAGCAGUGGGGAAUUUUGGACAAUGGGCGCAAGCCUGAUCCAGCCAUGCCGCGUGGGUGAAGAAGGCCU
rnacentral:rRNA from 1 species